UACGAAGGGGGCUAGCGUUGCUCGGAAUCACUGGGCGUAAAGCGCACGUAGGCGGAUCUUUAAGUCAGGGGUGAAAUCCUGGAGCUCAACUCCAGAACUGCCUUUGAUACUGGCAACCUUGAGUCCGGGAGAGGUGAGUGGAACUGCGAGUGUAGAGGUGAAAUUCGUAGAUAUUCGCAAGAACACCAGUGGCGAAGGCGGCUCACUGGCCCGGUACUGACGCUGAGGUGGCGAAAGCGUGGGGAGCAACAGG
rnacentral:rRNA from 1 species